UCCCCUGCUGACGCAUGGCGCAUGUCACCCGUCCGAAUCGCUUCGGCGUUACGAGUCGGGAAGCUGUCGGUUCGAAUCCGGCCAGGGGAGC
rnacentral:tRNA from 1 species